rnacentral:lncRNA from 1 species
GCUUUUAGGUAUUUCAUGUUUGAUGCGUUUGGUUCCAGAUACUUUUGUUUUGUUCUCAUUUUCCUGUGAACUGUUCUCCUGUUUCCGAGGUUUGAUUGGAGGCAGGGGCUUAUCUUCUUCUCCUUUAAUAAAUCUUUCAUAUGGUAGGAUUAAUCUAAAAGGUUAACAGAAGAGAUGAUCGGUCAGUUGAGUAAUUCCAGUAGCAUCAAUGCUAUGGGGGUUUACUUUCUUUUCUCAAUAUAAGCAAAUUAUUAAAUGACUUCAUCUCCAGUGACAGUGCUAUACUUCUAUAAACUUACUCUACACUUUAGUGUUCUGCUUCCUUGGUCAAAAUCAGUACCUGGUAACUUAAUACUUCUCAGCAAGACCUCUUUUUGGUUUUGUGGGUCUAUAGACCAAGAUACCAAUGGAAGCAUCCAACAUUAACAAUAUCACCAUCACUCCCCAUGGCACCUGGCUAAGUGCUAACAAAACUGCAACAAUAAUGCUAGCUGCUUUACCAGUCCAUCAACAACUAUUUAUUGAGCACAUACUAUAGGCAGUGUUCUAGGCACUGAGACACAGCCAUGAACCAAACAUUCAAAGCCUCUGAGCUCAUGAAGCUUAUAUUCUAGUAGGUACUAGCAUGUGCCAGGUACAUUUAAAGAUUAUUUUAUGUAAACUCCACAAUAUCCCUAUGGAGUAUUAUUAUUAUUCUCUUUUUUAACAUAUGAGGCAAUUGAGGCCUAUAAAGGUUAAACAAUUUGCCUGAGUCAUACCAUUUGUUAGAGGUGAGAUCUGAACCUAGUGCUGCCCAUCUGAAAACAUUUUAUUUUCAUUCAUGUCAAGAUAGAGAUGAAACAUCUAAGAUAAAAAGGUCAAUGAGAGGCAAGCACAGCGUGGCCAAGAGACAGUUUAGUCUUAUCCCACAGCUCUGAGUGGGGUAGGGGACUCCACUAGGAGUUCUGUUUUAGUGUGCUAAGUAAAAGACCGCCCCAGCGAGAAGGAAGGCAGACAGACUAUGCAAGCCACAAAAACCAGAGGCCUGAAAAUUUCAAGCAUUUAAAUUAUAUAACUUUUUAAACAAACUGCAUAAAAUUGCUCUAAAAAGAGAAACAUCAAACAGCUCUAGUUUUAAUCUGUUUUCCCUUUGCGACGUAGCUCUUUAUCUGAAAGGGAAAAAUAGCUGAUGUAAUUAAAAGGGAUGGAUUGCAUUACAAUCUCAGUUUCAACUUCAGUGAUUAAAGUUUUUAUAAUGCAUUUGGUAUGAUUAAUGACUCACUGUGGGAUUAAUAUAAGACUCAGCCUUAAAAAUAUGAACUUUAAUACAGCAAACAUAAUUUGUUUUAAAUAAGACAAGUUGACUCAAUGAAGAAAAUGUACUUGGCUUAUAAACAUCAUAAGUCUGUUCAAAUAUUGGGGAUCCUGAUUAUUUUUAAACUAAGAUUCCCAGGCAAAAACUUCCUUGGUCUGGAUAUUGGUUUGCUAUCCUAAAAUUGGUUUCUAUCUAUGUUAUUUGGAUCUCAACUGCUUAACCAUACACGAUUGUUCAGGUUUGACAGUACGGAUGUGGGGACAUUUGUGAUCCUAAUAUUUUGCUCUUUAAUAAAAUACCAAUAAAACUAUGGGAAAAUCAGAUCCCAAUUUAUAGCAUAUUAGAAACAAAAUUCAUUUACUGAGCAUGCUUGGACAAGGUAUGAGCAAGGAGGCGUGAAUAAUACUUUGGAGCCCUACAUCUGGCAGUUGGCCAGCCAUGAAGAUCAACAGAGCCCAUGGGGAAUAGUUAUCUUCAGAUCCCAUUACAAACUGAGUUUAAACAUGUUACAGCUGCUAAAACUGGAAACUGCCCUCCCUAUGUAGACUUACUAAAAUAAUAUAUGGCUGCCAAAUACCUGCUUCCCACUGUAAUAUUACAGUUAAUGUUUAUAUAAUAAAAAGCAUAACUAAGCACAAAGAGAAAAAAGCAAUCCUGUUCAUACUUGAAUUUAUUCUGUCUCAUCUGUAAAGUCCCCAACAUUCCCCCCAAUUCCUUUUUUCUGCCUGGUUCUGCCAGGGACUUUAUCCUCUUCAAUAUUGGCAGGUUGUGGAUUUUUGUCUGGGAGCAAAAUGCAUUGAAUAUUUUAAACUGGAAAGAUAUUUUAAAUUGACUUUAAUGGAAACAUAUUUUAUUGUUGGGACAGAUAGGUUUGUUUUACUUUUGUUUUGUUGCCAUGGGAACUCAAGGAACACUGUAGUCUGGGUAUUCCAAUGAUAGCAAUUUGCUGGUACCACCCUUCCCCCAGCUUCAUUUUCUGAUGGAGAUGGUGACACCACGAGGGACCCUCUUUACUGAGAAGAAUGACAGCAUUACCUCUGAGUGUGGGAAGGAGGAGGAGGGAAAGCAGAGAAUUGGGUGGGAGAGACACCCCAUGGACGCCCAAGGACCCCUCACUCUGGGUUCUGAGAGCCCUGGGCCAACCUGGCUCUCUAGAUGGGUGCUAAGGAGACUUUAAUUUCCUUUUCUAAUUUUGCAAGUUCACAAAGUAGGGCACCAUUCUCAUUUCGGUUCCUUUUUUUUUUUUUUCAUUUUUUCUUUCAUUUUUUUUUUUUUUUCUCCCCUUCACUCAACUCAGCAGCUGGCUGGCUGACAGCAGUAAAAAAUACAUUUCACUUUGCUGGUCAAAGGCCUAAAGCCAGAAGCAGGAAAUCUGGAAUUAAAUGUUUCUUGUAUCUGGAAAGAGGCAUGACUAAGGUAAAACUGAAUCCAAACACAAGCCCUACUUGUUCAAGGCUUCCAGAGAGAGUAUAUGAGAGUGUGUGAGUGUGUGAGAGAGUGUGUGUGUGUGUGUAAAGGUCAACCGAGUGUUUUUUCCCCCCCUUCUAAAUCAUUGAAAGAUAAUUAUAGUGGCUUGGGGAAAAAAGCCUCCUAAAAUAAAACAAGCAAGGCAGAAGCUAAAAGGAAGCAAGUAGAAAUAUGACCAGCUAAGCUUUGAAGAACAGGGCACGGUCUCGCACGGCACACAAUCGCUGCUUCAUAUAGUGAUUUCCGUUUGGUGCAAUUUUCACUGAAUGUUUUUUCAGUUAUCCUGUCAUGGUACAACACAAUUACCCCACAGGAUAUGAUCUUAUCAUAUGAUUAUUAGAAGUUUUUACAGUACAAGAGGACAAAAGCUAUUAUAGGUUUCUGAACAUUUAAACGUUCAACGUACAUGUGGUACCAUUAAAAACAGGUUAGCCUUAGAUUAGGUCAACAUUGCCCUAUGUAGAAAGCUGAGUAGGUUUGUAUUAUAUAAAGAAUUUAGUAAAAUGCACCAUGCCUGCGCCUUGAGGUUGAUUAUUUCUCAAAUAUUUGUAGCACAGCAAAGAUUUUAUCAGUUUCUAAACUGUACAGAUAAAAGCAAACAUGCACUCCAGCCCCCAAGAAUUCAUUACACAGGAGAAAUAUUUUCAAUGGACUGCAACUCUAAGAAUGGGGGCUGGCUUUUAGGUGGGUGGAAGUAAUGGGGAAGAGAAGCAAUAUAUUCAUUAGAAAAUCCAGAGAUUUUCCCCUUCCUGAUCUACAUCUAGUCUGGGGAUUGAAAGCUGGACAGAUAAAUGGGCCUUUAUUAUUAUCCAGAUUUCACAUUUCAGAUUAGCAAAAUGCUUAUUUACGAUGCGAUUAAUGGAUCUGAAAUAGGUAAGCCAUUAUGUAUUAAAAAAUAACAUCUUUCCAUAGGCAUAAGAUUUGUAGCAGCAUGAGAUUUUAUUUUUCCCUAGGAAUAAUACAAGAAUAACAUUUUCCACCCCAAAGCAGAAACAGUAGGGGGGCCUUUUGCUAUCACGGAGAUUCUUAUUAAAUUCAGUCACUGUGAAAAGCAAGAUUUUUUCCCCUCCUCAUUCUUCUUUCUUAAAAAAAAAAAGACUUAAAAUCAACCCAAGUUAAAAUUAACAAGUCAAUAGCAUUAUAACCUUGAUUUGUUAGCAUCUGAGCCACUAAAUUAUCAUCAUACAUGAAAUUGCUGGUUUGAAAAGAUUUCGGCUUUGCUAAAUCUCAAGUUAAAUAAUGGUGCUUAGUACACUAGGUUUUUAGAUCUGCCUCAUCUGAUAUUAUGAAAAAUUCAAUACAUUUCUCUACAGCAGAAGUCAGGGGUCAGCAAAUCUAUUACUGUAAUGUAAGUAAUCUGGCAACCUGCCAACUCUUUCUCCCUUUUAUUAUUUUUUUAAACACUAAGGCAGAUAAUUUUAUAUUUACAAAGUCUAAAAUCCUCCAGGGCCUUGCCUCUCUUUCUCAACAAAAACCAGCAGCCUUGCAUUAGAGAAGUGUGUAUCACACAUGUCCUCAUCAUUUGCAUUUUGUACAAAAGAAGAAAAGACCCUUCAUCUUUAUUACACAACAUUCCCCUCCCUUCCUCAGAAGCAGAGGAAAAAUAAUGUCAAAUCUCAUCUGAACCAGUAACCACUAAUGUCUCCUGUAUUGAUUAAUGCUUGCAUGGAAUGACUGAACUUUUGGGCCAAAAUAUUUAGCAAACAGUGCUUAAUAGGAAAAACGAGAAUCCAUCUAUUUACAGAGCUUGAAAAAUGGUAUUACAAUAAUGUCUGGAACUGAUUGAAUCCAGAGAGUGGGGGCAAGAAGUGGUGAACUUUUAGGGUUGUAUUUGAAUCCCAAAGUCACCCCAGUUACUGCAUAGGCACUUUAUGGUAUCAAAUCAGUGAGAAAUUCCAGACCUAAAGGUUUGCUGGUGUCCUUGGAGCAGAAUAUUUUCUAGGGGCAGAGGGAAAUAACAUUGGUGCAUGUCAGGUCAAAGAUGCCACUACUGGCCAAGUGUGGUAGCUCACGCCUGUAAUCCCAGCACUUUGGCAGGCGGAGGCAGUCGGAUCACUUGGGGUCAGGAGUUCGAGACCAGCCCAUCUCUACUAAAAAUACAAUAAUUAGCCAGGCAUGGUGGUACGUGCCUGUAAUCCCAGCCACUUGGGAAACUGAGGCAGGAGAAUUGCUUGAACCCCAGUGGCAGAAGCUGAAGUGAGCCGAGAUCAUGCCACUGCACUCCAGCCUGGGUGACAGAGUGAGACUCUGUCUCAAAAAAAGAAAAAAAAAAGGCACUACUAUUCUAAUACUAUUAGGCUUUUUUUUUGUAGUAACAACGAAAUGACAUAUUGGUUCAACUGGGACUUCAGACCUGAUCUCACCCCAAAUGGAGUCAUUACACCUCUGAGUUGAUUCCAGCCUUGAUAAAUUUCUACAGCUUGGCCAGACAUUUCCCUUUGCAGCCAGAAAUUAAAAUAUAACUUUACUGUGAAGUAUGGGAAGGAAUCUUUCACCAAAUAUGGAGCCAAUAGAAGGUAUAUUUUUCCUUUCUGAAGAUGAGGUACACAUGCUUGUUACAGUUCCAAUAAGCAUAGAGAGUUUUUCUAAUCUCACAUACUGUUCACCUCUCAGGUGCUAGACCAUGACCAUAAAAGUGGAAGAAGAGCUUUUGGGGGUAGGGAACCAAAUCAACAGCCAAAUACACAAAUGUGCUAUGUAAAUGAGCAGAGAAAUGAGAAUGUUUCCUCAGCGGGCACAACCCUGGUUGAGCACAGUAAAAGCUAAGCUCCAUCUGAGAGAGAUGUGAGCCACAGAAGAUCUCCAUUUUAUGGUGUGAACUUGAGUGGAGCAGAAAAAAUAGUGUGCCGAGUGUGACAAGCUCUCCCCAUAACCAAGACAGGUGAGAAAGAGGCCUCCAGUGUCACCUCCCAACAGGCAAGGAUGUGAACUGAAAGUCUGGGGCACCAAACCACGGAGUAAGAAGCCACGCUGACAUGAAGAACGAGCCUAUAGCGGGGCCCAUCUGAGCCAACAAAAUGGCGGCAGAGUGCAACACAGAGUCUGUGUGAAAGACUCAGUUUGCCCAAGAGCUACCAAAGCCAAACUGCCUUACAUACUUUAAAAAUGAGGUAGGUAUAACUAGCAUCACCUGUAUUCUAUGCUAAGACACCUAAAAGGUAUGGAGUCCACUAUUAACAACGAUGAAAUAUAACCAUUUGUCACCACAAAAGGUCUCUUUUCUGGGAAAAUGAUCUGCUCACAGGGGCUUCAUUACCUACUCAAUGGGCAGCAGAUGGACAAGAAAACUUUUUGAAGGCUUUAAUGCUCUCUCCAUUUGCCCCUGGAAGUGGGUGGGAGAGUUGUUUCUUAGGCCCACUGAUAAUUCUGAUACCUCCCUCCAUGGUCCCGGAGUGUGUGUGACCCUAAAUGAAGAGAAGAAAGAAAGGUACGUGGUACUGGACACAGCAAGGUGGUGGCUCGGCUCCCAUAAAGAUGUGUCAGUGUGAGAGAGUUAGCUCAAGGAUGACAGCUUUCCUGAACUGGAGUUACAUGGAUUUCAGGGGACUGUGUUAGAAGCAAGGUGGGAAGGUAGAGAAACCUCAUUCAGGUCAUUCAUAUAUAUUGAUUAGGCAUUACAAUAUUAACAGCCACCACCACGCAUUACAUUCUUAUUAAUACCAGGCACUCUGCAUGCUUUAAUUUCAACCAUUACAGAAAGAAAUAUCUACAGAUAUAUUAUUUUAUCUCAUUUUAUGGAUGACAAAACUGAGGUUCAGAGCUAAACGAUUAAGUGACUAGUCAAUGGCACACAGCUAUUUAGUGUCAAAAUUUUGAGUUCGACCACCAAACUGCCUGCCUCUGCUAGUCCAGCUAUCUUCAUCUCAAAAAGGUGGCUGUGCAUCUUCAUACACAGAUGUAUCAACACGGAGACAUACCAACACGGAGGAGAUACUGAAAGAUCACUCCUGCCUGGGUUAAGUGAAUUCCUAGCUCCUAAGGAGUUACCUGAGAAACUGGAGUGAGCAUUCUCCUUUUCUCAGAGGCAACAGGCCUAUAAAAUACAUAUGUAGCCAUUCCACAAAGGGUCAACCUCCUACAUCAGAAGAAGCCCUAUGGCUUGGGCACUGGGCAACUACUCUUACAAUAUGCUACAAUAACCAUGCCAUAGCUCUUCAAAAGGUAGUGAUACUAGUUGGAUCAUGCCCAACUUAAUAUCGGAUGGUAAGAGAAACUUGAGAAUCAUAUCCUCCAUGAAUUCCAGCCUCUAGGACUUAAUCUUACCAAGCCCAAGCUUCCCAUGGUCUCCCUAAUAAAGCUCCUUUGGGGCUUUCUAUGAUGUCUCCAUGCCACAUGUAAGAGCAUCUAGACUAAUGUUGUUCCUAUGCCUUUCAAAUGACAACCACAUUGAAGAAAGUUGGAAUGGACUUAAGGAAGGCUGAUGUUAUGUCCCAGGGAUUAAAAUGCAUGCUUAUUACAGUGAACACAGACCAUGCAUGGUGCCUAGCCCUCUACAAUGCCAGCCAGCAACAACUGCAGCAAUGACUCUUCUCAAUGAAAAAAGCCCAAUGACUUCAGAAUUGAGUUGUAUGGAUCCAUUUCAAGGGCAGAUGAACAUUAUUUCAAGAAUAAUAAACCCAAUACUGUUUUGUUUUGAGACAGGGUCUCAUGCAAUCACGGCUUACUGCAGCCUUAACUUCCUGGACUCAGAUGAUCUUCCCACCUCAACUCCCUGAAUAGAUGGGACUACAGGUAUGCGUCACUGCACGUGGCUAUUUUUUUUAUUUUUAGUAGAGAUAGGGUAUCACCAUGUUGCCCAGGGUGGUCUCAAACUCCUGGGUACAAGCAAUCCACCCACCUCGGCCUCCCAAAGUGCUGGGAUUACAGGGUAAGCCACUAUGCCCAGCCAACAUGGCAGUGUUUUCAAUGUGAUGUGUACCCCACAAAUGAUGGAAGCCAGUGUCAAAAUAUAAAAAUAGGCAAACAACUAUUGCAUUUAAGCCCCAUGCAUGUUAGAUCCUACUGGUUCCAGAACUUCUGAAAUGUUCAACAGUUCUCCCACAACAUUUAUUAUUUUGGUCAAACUUUGUAGUAACUUACACAAAAACAAAAUGUUCCAAGAGGUUUUCAGUGGAAGAGUUAAGAAUAUACUUUAAUGGUAAACAAUUACAUUCUUCUGUCAUAUGAUACUUUUUUUCCCUUUUCUUUUUUGGAAACAUGCUUUCUGAAUUUUCAAUAGUUCCUUUGUGAAGGCAUCUGUUACUCACAUAACUGAAAAGAUGUUUGUGCAGUGGCAUGCUUGAGAGUACAGUUAUUUAAUCUUAAUGAUAAAACCCUGAGGACAGAAAAUCACAAGUAGAAACCUUUUGUUAUUUAUCAAAAAGAAAAGGGCUAAGACACCUAAUCUAUUCUCAAAUUUAAAUUCAUGCUUGAUGAAAACUAUCAAUAAAACAUGGGACCUGCAAGGUUUCUUAAAUACUAUAGUUAGGUUCAAAGGAUGGGACAGAGGAAGUAGGAUAAAAACAAAAAUGAGACAAUAAAGGAGCUCGACAAAGAAAAACUGCUGUUUGGCAAGCUUUUUUUUUGGGGGGGGUCAAACAAAGAACUCGCUGUAGUUUACAGCAUGACAUACACACUUGAUUAGUUUGUGCCUGAGGGUGUUUUUACACUCAACAGUGUAAACUCUAACUUCUAUUAAUUACAACUUGCAUUUAGAGGCAAAUUUAAGAAUUUUUAAAUAGAGAUUUUUUUCAAAGGCUGUUGUUUAUUUUUUUAAAAUAGAAACCAGUUUUUCUACUCCAGGGUCUGGCUAGAGUUUUGUUUUCCUUUCUAAAAGUUUCUUGAAAUAUCCAGGCAUUGGAAAGUUAUCAGAGCAUUUUAGGCAUGCUGAGUGAUACAGACUAUGCGGCUCUUGUGUAUGAAAUUACCUGACUGUCCUUUGGAGAGAAAUUCUUUACAGAUGACAAGAUGAAGCUACUCUGGGUGUAGGGUGUUUGCAUUGAACUGACUCAGAGCCCUGUAAGAACAAGCUUGGUGGAGUGUAGAUGGAAGAGAAGCUGUACAACCUCAGUCAGCCUAACUCUGGGCAACUUGUUUUCAGUUUCCUGGGCUUCUGGUUGUUGAUAGGGCUAGGAUGCCCUCUGUGGGUUUAGGGAGAUGAGAGUGGCAGGGUGGCCGUGUUGCAGAGGUAAGCCCAAUAGGGGCCACAGGUCAGGACUGCCAUGAGAAAGACAGUGUUGGGAAAGGAAAUGCAAGUCCAUUGACUGGGUAACCUUACCAUGGAUGAGGAUGGGCAGAGUCUACCCACCGCACCUUAGGAUAAUAGUUCAUAGACAUGAGAGGAUAAACUACACUACCUGCCUUUGGGGUAUGUGACUUGGAAAUUCAGCCUUAGGACUUUCCUGACAGCCCCUACCUUUUUAUACACAUUUUCCAGAGGGGACUUUGCUCAUUUCAGUUGAAAUUUCUCUCUUCCUUCUUUGAUCCCUGUUGAACUUAUUUUUUUUAAUUACAUAAAACUAGUUUUUAUAGAUGUAGUUUUUUUUUUUUUUUUUGAGACAGAGUCUCGCUCUGUAGCCCAGACCGGAGUGCGGUGGCGUGAUCUCGGCUCACUGCAACCCUCCACUUCCCAUAUUCAGCCAUCCCGUGAUUCAUCCCGUGAUUCUCGUGCCUCAGACAUCUGAGUAGUCAGGAUUACAGGUGUGUGCCACCAGCCCCAGCUAAUUGUUGUAUUUUUUAGUAGAGGCAGGGUUUUACCAUGUUGGCCAGGCUGGUUUCGAACUCCUGGGUCUCAAGUCAUCUGCCCGCCUCGGCCUCCCAAAGUGCUGGGAUUAUAGGCGUGAGCCACCAUGCCCACCACAGACAUAGAUAUAACUCUCUUCCAUGUGUGUACGGCCUUUGACUCAGAUCUUGUGAUGGGUUAGAUAAACCAAGGAUCAUGGCAUCUUCCAGUUCUAAUGAGUCGUGGUGGCUCCCUGGGGAUGCCAUACUGAGAAGAAUUCUGAGGCUGAACCCGGGCUCACCGGAAGCAGCAUCCUGUUCCUUUAGCAAUCUCAGCUAUGAAUGUGGUGGCAAGGGUACCUCCUCAUUGUUUGCCAGCCAAUUCUCAACUCUUUGCUUUAUAUGUUCUCAUUACCCCUGAGAGUGCUCUCUGCACAUGGCAGAUGUCCAAAAAACACCGAUUGGGUUUUGAGGGCAGCAGUAAAUAAAAAAGACAGUUAAUCAAAUGGCAAAUCUAUCCUAUCCAAGAAAAUGCAACAGGCCAGUAGGAGAGGGCUUCUUGCCCAUUCCAAAUGUAAUCUUAGGCUGUGUUGAUAGACUGACACUGCCCGCAUCCUGAGAAAUACUACAUGCCACAUCUGGAGUAGCUUUGGGUAUUCUGAGUGACACAAACUGGAGGCGCCUGCAUGAGAGCAAGCCGAGCUGGUGAAGGUCCAUUACUGACGCUCUGAGGCUUGGUUGAAUGGAACAGGAAGACCUGAAGUGAAAGAGGAGCUUUGACAAGCUCCUGGACGCUGAUCAGAGCAAAGGGAGCAGACAUGUGGCGAGUCGUCCUCCGAAGGCAAGGCAAGGUCAAUGGGAAGCCACAGAGGGUGUUUUGCUCAGCACACGGAAGAGUGUGUAGAGCAGAGUAAGAGCGCCUGGAACCCUGAAGCUUCCUCUAGGCCCUCCCACUGCAGGGCGCUGUAUCAGAGGCUGGAGAGCCUAGUGUCAAGCAUAUUUCAGUCUUUGUGGAACUUGGCAUCCUGUAGGCUAUAUUUUGCCCCUGGGCAUGUUUGAUUUAGCUUAUAUAAAAUAUUUUUUUAAAUAUUGGAGCCAGUGUUUGUAAGUUAGGUUAUUUCACAUUAAAAAAAUAUCUUGAAAACAUAGAAGGUCAGGAAGCGCACAGACGGCAUCUACCUACAGCAACAGUGUGGGCUGGUCCCUUUGGGCUCUCUGGCCCGGGCUGUGCGUGCCAGUUUCACACUUUCCAGCCGUGGCCCCUGCACUCAUCUUUGCUACCUGCCUCCAUAAAUAUCUGAGUUUGUGGCCAAGAUGUAGGAGCGGACCUUCUCCACUGACCUGGGUGAAAGACGAGUUUUCUAAAUUUCCCAUCUGAUGCUGACUGAUGCUUUUGUAAACAACCAUAAAAAUGAAUUACUAGAAAAAUGGAAUUCAAAAGGAGGCAUACAAAACACAAGCCCCAAGUUUUUAUUAGCUUCAACAGACAUAAUGUUAUUCUGGCAAAUUUCAGCGUAAGUGUAUCAAUGCUUAUUCGCAAUUGCUGUGCUUAUUAGCUUGUUAUGGGCUAGUAGAAAACAGUUCAUGGACAAGUCAGAAAAUCUCAUUUGAGUAGCACUGGUCUAGGGAGUUGCUAGGGGUCCUCUUAAAUAUACAAUUCUGAGAUGUGGCCUGUGACUUUCUGAAUUGCGUAUCUAUUAACUCCAAGGGUGUCCAAAUGAGCAAGAAUACAUGGAAUCAUGUCCUUGAUGUGCACAGAACUGUAACUCACCUUUCCUUCCCCAGCCUUUAUCCAUGGUAUGAUUAGGUGGGUUCCUUAGAACCUGAUAUAUUUUUGGUCCUUAACUUAAAGCACAUGCUUAUCUUAUUCAAAACAUGAAGCCUCCCACACUCUACCUUAUACCUUCAGAGAAAAAAGGCAGAAGCUCCAGCUAUCACCCAGUAUCUGCCCAAGUACAUCUGGCUUGGGUACAGCUCACCUUAAGUCCCUGCAAAGAAAGCUGCCUCAGCCAUGCAGGGUGACAAUCUUGUCCAAGGAAUGCUUAUGGUAAAAGCAAAAGGUUGGAUUUGAAAUUAGGCAUUAUGUGUGCAAGAAGAUGAAGAAUAGUUGCUAAUUUCCCUCACAAACAAAUACAUUUGUUUAUGAUUUUGAUUUUCUAAAUACUCAAAAAUGCACAUCAUAAAGUACUUUUGCUUUAAUGCUCCUUUUAAAAUCCCUAAUAACAACUUCAUGUGCUCCACAGAAACAGACCAUGUAAUUUAUUCAGGAAAAUUAAAACCAGUAAUCUAGCAUUCUGAGUAAAGAUUUUUUUCCCCCUGCAUGGACUUUAAAAACAUUUUUUAAAAAGGGAAAUCUGCAUGUGAAAACAAAGCCUUUAAAGUGAUUUACUAUUCCAGAAAAUCAAGCUAAGAGAAUUCCAUAAAAGUAGUCGUUUUCCUUUUUGUUCCUUUACUGAUAAAAAUAAAGUGAACUGGUUACUUUUAAGUAAAGAGUUAGACAAGAAAGAAAAUGUUCCACUUAGAAAGAAUGAGGUGGGUAUUUUUCUUUGCAUCAAAAGCUACAGUAACUUCAUCUAUAAAUCCUGAGCAAGAAAUGUCCAGAAUAACCACAUUUCAUAAGCUUUGCUGAGUUUGAGACAUCUACAUAGCAACAGCCUUGCGAUGGGAAAACAUUAAUGCUUUUUAUAUUGGUAAUCAUCUGUAACAUGAGCAAUUAAGUACAGUACUAAUGGACUAUGGCCAGGAGCCUGGUACUAAUAUUAAAAACUGACAGAGAUGAAUAGAUUUGGAAGCAAAACCCGGCUGACAAAGACAUUUUUAUGAAGUGCUUGGACCUAUUUGAUUUAAACCAAUCAGAGGCAAGUUUGUACGAGUCAGGCCUUCAGUGACAAUGAUGUAUUCACAAGCAUUGUACCAUUUCUGCUUUGCCUUAAAUAAAAACACCCAUUGAUUCUUUUCAACAACCCACACUUUCAUUAUUGCACUCAUUAAUAAACCAAAAGUGCUCAACUAAUAUACAAGUAACAUUUUACUGAGGAACUGGCUACAUUUUUCUUGUUGUAAAAUGAAAACGUUUACUGGAAACAUGAACCACAGUGCAUGAAAAAUAAAUCAGUGGAUAAUGCAUAGAGAUCACUCACUUCUUCAUCUUCUAGGAAAGCAAAGCUGGUGGCAGGGAAAUAGGAAAAAGAGCAGUUCUCUUUAUCGGAGUGAAAAGAAUGAGAACAGAAGAACCCGCAGCCUAGUAGGAAGAGCUCUCAUCAUCCUGAUUUGGUUUGGAAGGCUUUACAAAAUUCCAAGGGCAUUUCCAGACUAGAUAUUUGCCCACAAAGUCCUGACCAUUCUCAACUCAUUGACCCUUCUUGAAAACAGUGUUCCUUCACCAAUCCAGUCAUCUCUGUUUUAUCUGUUCAUGCAACCUGUGACUAGCAAGAAUGAAUGAAAUCCACCAUAAUCAUGAAGUUUUAGCCCAGAGCUUCAGUCUCUUCUUGGAUAUAUGUGCAUGUCCUCUGCCCUUCUUUGGUAGAACCAAUUAAAAGGAAGACAUCUAGAACGGUAAUCCUAGCUUUUUCUCCCCACCACAACACAUAGGAUUAUGGGUGAUUCCUCUUGGAGAAUGAUUGAUUGAACAUUGAGAGAGGCACUGUUGUAAAUAAAAUCAAUGAUCUUCAAAUUUUGGUAGUUAGCGGUUGCAUCUGAUCACAAGGAUGUGAGAGGAGUCUAGAUGGCAAAAAGGAAAUACCAAGGAAAGGUAAAGGACCUUGCUAAUCACCCUGGGACAGCUAUGCUCCAACAACACAGUUGGAGGCUCCACACUGCCAAUUUUUGGUGUUGCCACACAUAAAAUGGGCUCUGCAUAUGGGGUUCCCACUUGGCGGAUGGCCUAUUGUCUUUCAACUCCAAAUCCACCCUUCUGUACUCUGCUUGCUGAUGCUAGGACUGGAAUUCUGUAAAUUACACAUCCCUUUUGUCAGCUAUCUUCCUGUUACUAUUCUGCAAACAGUGUGUCCUGGGAGGCAGGGAGAGAAAAGGAAUCUCCUUUCCAUUUCACUUGUUCACAUAAGUGUCAACUCCACAAUGCAUUAACAGCAGCAGUGGGUUGCAGCCUCUAGUUUCAACAGUCCCCCAGCAGUUUCAGCGCGUGUCCUCUGAGGUCUGGCAGCAGCCAGGGAGCACCGCCUCCUCAGGUUUCAGCCCAGCUCUGCAGUGCUCCACCUCUGAGCUCCCGAAGCAUCAGUGCUGGUUGGGUGACUCCUUCUUACCAGGGACCUGAACCCCAGCUCUGAGGCACAUUCUCCAAACUUCUGGGUGGUGACAACCAACCUCUCUUCUCUGUUCUGUCACCCUAGGGAACUUACAGUUGUUGCCCCCGUGUUAACUUAGUGCCUCACACCAACCCCUGUUUAAGCAACUGCCUAUGGUGAAGUCUCUUUGUUGAAUACCCAGUGUGGUUUCCAUUUUCCUUACUGCACCCUGACUCAUACACUGACCAAAUUCUGGAUUUGGAAAAGUGACACCACUCUUCAAAAAGUUUAAUCGAGUGAGAAAGCAAACCUUUAUGGAAUAUCCAAUCUGGUCCCAAGAAUAGGGAGAGAAGAGAAAAAUUUUAAGACAUCUUUAAUCAUGUUUCUUAAUUGCUAAAGUUUGUGGUAUAUCUACUAAAAUUUUCUAAUGUGAUUGAAAGCUUUCAGGAAUCUCCUGAAAGAAGUAAAUAAUCAAAAGUACACAAUCUUCAGAAGAAUCCUACUUUUAUUCACAGACCUGCUCAAUCACACACACACACACUACUAUGGGUUGAGUCCUUCUCUCCAUGCCAAACCUUCUCUCUUUUUUUUUUUUUUACCAUGUGAUACUUUGUAAUUAAUUUGAUUGAUGUUUUCAUUCUUUAACUAGAUGAGCUAACAGCUGAGAUACACUCCUUUUUCAAGCUUUAAUUGCUAUCUGCUCCUUUAUGUUUGAUGGUUCAGGUGUUGAGGGCAUUUGCAUAUAAAGGACAGGGAUGUCCACUCUCAAAACAGAAUCUAUUUGAAAACAGGGACAGAGUUUCUAGUAAAAAUGUUCUGGCUGGGUGUGGUGGCUCACGCCUGUAAUCCCAGCACUUUGGGAGGCCGAAGUGGGUGGAUCAUGAGGUCAAGAGAUCGAGACCAUCCUGGCCAACAUGGUGAAACCCCGUCUCUACUAAAAAUACAAAAAUUAGCUGGGCGUGGUAGCACGUGCCUGUAGUCCCAGUUACUUGGGAGACUGAGUCAGGAGAAUCGCUUGAACCUGGGAGGCAGAGGUUGCAGUGGGCCGAGAUCAUGCCACUGCACUGUAGCCUGGUGACAGAGGAAGACUCCGUCUCAAAAAAAAAAAAAAAAAAAAAAAAGUUCUGAAUGAAGCCUUGACUCAUAAGUCAAAAACAAGUAGCCUGUGGUUCCUUAGACAUUAUUUUCGGAACACUCACCUGAGAUAUCAGUGCUACUUUGUACUAGGACAUCAGUGGUGUACCUUAUACAUACAGUGAGAAUGGGUGAGUUUUUGUAUUAAACACUGACAGAAAUAACAUAUUUUAAAAAUUGAUGUGUUGUAUUGAAAAACAAUGCUAUAAAGAGUAAUAAUUUGAACAUCUAUUAUCAAUUUUUAAAAAUCCUUCUGAAUUACAACCCUGCCAAGUAAGGCAAUCCUUUGGGAAUACUUUGUAGCAAUUUUUCAUGGUGUACUAAACCCAAUUCAAUUUAUUAUUACAAAAACAUUCUUGUUGAACGGCCAUACUAAAGCUGAGUUAAAUGCAAUACAGAUAAAAGUAAAAUUGAACUUGGAAAAAAAGGACUAAGAAUUGAUGAGUUAAAUGGUAUUGCCUGAGGAUGUACGUAUAAGACCCAAAGGGAAAUGCCAGUUAUAAGGAAGUUGGUAAUGACCUAAACAAAUUAAGUAUGGGCUUGAAGCAUAGAGGGAUAAUGCAUUAAUCUGCUAACUGGUCUUUAACGGUGUGAAUAAUGGAGUCCUAAUGCAAACGGGAAAUCCACUCCUGUGGAUGCAACAUAGUAGGCUAAUUUUGCAUUACUUCUUGUUUGCAUCCUCAUCAUCUUUCUGAAAUAGGCUGAAAUUGUUAGAAAACCAAGCCACACAGAGCUUGGUAAGAAGAUUCCGUAGAAGAAAAAUACCAGGAUGAAAUAAAACAACAGAUUUGAUCUGGGGCCAUUUCUCUUACUAUGAGAAAUCCUUACUUUUCAAUGCUAAUAUUAUGAGAAGUGCUUACUUUUCAAUGUCAACCUCAGAGUAGCAUUGCAGAUUUUUCAGAAGCUAAAGGUUCUCAUGUUAAGAGAGCCUAAAGAGAACAUCCUGAGUAAUCUAUGCUUGUGGGGAAAAAAAAAAAAGGCAUUGUCAGGCAGGUGGUCACAUGACAGAACCAAACUAAAAGAACAUCUAAUUUUAGCCCCUGUAACAAGAGAAAGCCAUGUUCCCUAAAAAUCACAAGGCGGUAUGCAAAGUAAAAUGCCAGAGGGAAAUUUUCAGUUUCCCAAAAGGUCAUUUAGACUUCCUCUGUCUUAUCCUUGACCAGAAGCUCCUUUCAAUUAACACACUUUUAACUAAGCAAUUCCAUGAAAUGGUUUCUUACCUUUCAUAAUGUCUGCGGGUACAAGUGGCAGCGCUGGUGCUCCCAGGAUUACCGCCUAAUUCAUCAUAAAUAUGUUUCCACUGACGGCGGGCUGUUAUCUGAAAAAAUGGCAAUGGGAAAUUCAAUCUUACAUCAUAAGAGAUUCAUAGUGCCAGGCUUCAAUACAUAUGCAACAGUCAGAAGAGAACAGUCUGUUCUGGAAACCCAGAAACAGAGAAGUCCAAAAGAGUAUAUGGGGUGAUUUAUGGUUUCAUAGUGAGAUCUCGCUUUCAGCACUCUUCUUUACAAUAAAAAUGGAAUUCUACUUUUGGAUGUGUAUUUUGUCAUCCUAAGUGCGUUUCAUUUAAGACACCUCCCUGGAUAUUCAUGUAGGUUUGUCAAGGACUCAUACUCAUACCCUGUUCCUUUAAGUCAUUUGAUAAAGCAUCAAAAUAAAAUCAGGUUUUAGCUGAAAUAUAUCUUAGUUCAACAGUUUAGAUGAAUCAACAUUAACAUUGCCUGAGGCAUGUGGAAAUGGGGAACCGGGUAUAGAGGUAAAAAAGAGUCUUUUACCAAACAUGCUUUUGUAUCUUCUGAUUUUCCAUCCAUGAGAUGUGUUGCCAAUUUAAAAAAUAAAUAAAAUUACUACACAGAUUAAGUUAAAUGAUCAAAUUGGUUGUGGAAUUUAUAGUCAUUUCAGGCUAUAUUUUUAUGCCAGCUUCUCUAACCACCAAAACAAAACCAAAAUCUGAAACUGUAUAUGUUGCAAGCUGUUUAUUUUUAUUCACUUAGGUCAAGAAAAUGGGAUAUUGAUCAAAUCAUAUGAAAACUAACAUAUUCCACAGUUAAAAUGCUAGCUACGUACAUUAUUGAGUUGAGUGAAUAAAAACAAACAGCUUGUAAUAUACUGAGCUGCACACUAUGGUCUUGUUUAAUUUUUUCCUUUAAUUUUAUUUUUGUACAAAAAUUAAGAUUUUACAAAAUAACAGAUGCAAGAUCUGGCAAAUGAUUAAUUUGGGGAAACCAUGUCAUUUACUACAUCCAAGUAAGUCUAGUAUUUCCUUGAAAUUUGGAAGACAGAACAAGUUCUGCGGCCCUCGUGAACAUUUCUCAACAGGGUUACGGGAAAACUCUGUUAUUUGAAUGUGUAGGGGACAGGGCGUGGCAAAGGUGCCAGUGGAAUUUAAUACAGUCAAGCAGGAGGCUUCUUUUGAAAAAUACCCACGAGGCUGCCAGCGGAGUUCACCAAGGGGCUAAAGGCAGCAAUCAAAUGAAAAAAAAAAAAAUUAAAAAACCUCAACUUGCAACCGGGGCUCUGUAAUUGUAAAUCUGAGGAGGAGGAGGUGGCUGGUUAAAUAUUAUGGGGUAAAUGGUACCUUUUCUAUUUCAAAUAGAAAGAACCCCUUCAUUUUCAUAAACCCUUCUCAACAGGCCCAAAUAGGACCUCGAGACAAUGUUAGCUGUGCAUCAUUCAAUUUCCCAUGAAGCAUUCUUGCACCAAUCGGUUUCAAUAGUUCUCACUAGACAGAACCACCUCUUACAUCUACUAGCAGGUGUAACUGAAAAUAAAAUCCUCCUUAUUUACAGUUUGUUUUAGAUUACAAGAAAUGGUUUCAACGCCCUUUCAAAACACUCAAAAUAUGUAUUUUGAUAAUUAUUUUAUAUUUAGUUACAAUCUGCCUCCAACCUUUAAAUGAUAUAAUCUUGGGCUAAUCUGAGGCCCACAUAUCAAGGGAGAAGAAACAGGAUACCUCCAAGUGCCUACACGAUUCCUCAAAGACCCUAGAAUACCCCUUGAAACACACCUCCAGAUUCCCCUCACUCAGAUGAGACCUGUGGGCCCUGGGGGUGACAACAGGGUUAGAAAACAGCCUGUGUGUGGCCCUGUAAUCACUUAAGAAACCAUCACUCUGAUCAUCCUUGUGUCUCCUGUGUACACUGUCUAUUUUAUAAAGGAUUUUCGCAUCCAUGACAUCAUAUAAUCCUCCCAUAGCCUGUGAGGCAGGUUAUAGGAAAUCUCAUUCACAGAAGAAGGGAGAUUCAGAGAGGCUGCACACUUGCCCAAUGACACACAGCAGCAGAGUACCAAAACUAGGAUCCAUAUGGUUGUCUUCUGGUCUCAAGAGUGGACUUCUUUUCACUGCAUAAAGCAGCUUCCACAUCAGAAUGACCUGAGAAUAGCCCAUGCUUGUAACAAGUUGGUAACACAGAACUCUGGGAGCCUUUUCCUUCAAAUGAGGCAGGUAACUGUGGGAAUCACUGUUUCUGCUGUGAGUUCUCAACCUUUAGCUUUGAGUCUUUCCCAAUGGGGAAAUCUAGCUAAGAGGACAGCAUCAAUUUAAGGUAGUGGGUUGAAUUAACAGUGCUCUGAGGUUUUACUCUCAAAGCAUAAAGUCCACCCUAACCACUUGUAUCUCUAGUUAGAACAGAAGUUCUGGCCGGGCAUGGUGGCUCACGCCUAUAACCCCAGCACUUUGGGAGGCCGAGGCGGGCGGAUCACCUGAGGUUGGGAGUUCAAGACCAGCCUGACCAACAUGGAGAAACCCCGUCUCUACUAAAAAUACAAAAUCAGCCGGGGUGGUGGCGCAUGCCUGUAAUCCCAGCUACUCGGGAUGCUGAGGCAGGAGAAUUGCUUGAACCGGGAGGCAGAGGUUGCGGUGAGCUGAGAUCGCGCCAUUGCACUCCAGCCUGGGCAACAAGAGCAAAACUCCGUCUCAAAAAAAAAAAAGAAGUUCUAUAUUAAGUUCACCACCGAGUCACAAAUAAGUCUCAAUUAUAUCAGAAUCCAUCCAGUCACUCAUCCGUUAAUUCACCAAAAAUUUAUUGGACAUCGCCCAUUUAUUAGGCACUGUGCUAACAAAUGUUACAGCUGGGAUGCAACAAUGAAAAGCAGACCAGCAUGCAAGACCACUGUAUUCUAGUAGGGGAUACCCACAAUCAACGAGUGAACACAUAUAUCAAUAAAAUAAUAUAAAUUGUGAAAACUGAUGAGCAAGAAAGCCGGGGAUAUUUAGGGUGUGAAACUGACCACGCCUCCCUCCCCAUCCUACCAUCUAAACGAGGGAAUGCCCUAUGAUACACUUGUCUAUCAGAGAAAAGAAAAGACCCUUUAGGAAUAAAUAAUGCAUUAUCACAGGAGGGAAAAAUAAUCUAUCUCAUACUAGGUUUGAAACGGUAGCCACAGGAAGCCAACAUCAAGCACCGCUGGGCAUUAAUAAGCUGUGUGCAGUAGGCCAGGGGUCUGUGUCAGCCCCCUAGCACUUAGUAAGUUCUGGUGUUUAAAUACAGUUUUUACCAGUGAGGAUCAUCUGGAGUGAAGACAGGUCUGGCCCUUCGAGGAAGUGGUUCCUCUAUUUACUGAGCUUCCACUGAAUGGCCUGGAUGAAUUGGGCCAUUUUGAGAUAUUUUCUUUCCAUGGGAAAGUCAUAAAAUGUGCCCUUCACAACUGUUAAAUGCUGUUAAGUACACAGGUCUCCUAGGCACACAUCUCUGUUUUUUUGGUCUCUAGAUGUAAUUCAAACACUAGCCAUGGACUCUAGAGGAAGAAAUGUCUAAAUUCUCCCAUUGUCCAAACACAUGAUGGGUCUCAGAGCCCAAUAAGGAGAGAGAACAGGGCAGGGAAACAUCUCCCGGCUUCAUGUAAAUCCGCCUUCUGUAUUAACAUGCUUUAAUUGUGCCUAAUUAUGUACUUGCUUAUAGUUUUUAUUCUGUUGUCCAAUGUCCUCUCUCGAUGUGGGUAAGCUUUAAAAUUCCAUCUGGAAUAAAACCAACGUCUGCCUCCUAGUGUCUAGUACCCAGCCUCAAUCAGCUGGAAAAUUUGAUCUAAUCAAGGGGCUAGUUUGAUCAACUCUCUCACUAAGCCUCAGGCCUCCUGGUUAUAAUUUGUGUUUCAACCUGACCUUCUAUUAUAUUAGCUUUUUAGGGGAACAGAGAACUUCUGGCUCUUUGUUUCCUUUUUUUUUUUUUUUUUUUUGAGACAGAGUCUCACUCUGUCGCCCAGGCUGGAGUGCAGUGGCGCGAUCUCGGCUCACUACAAGCUCCGCCUUCCAGGUUCACGCUAUCCUCCUGCCUCAGCCUCCUGAGUAGCUGGGACCACAGGUGACUGCCACCAUGCCUGGCUAAUUUUUUUGUAUUUUUAGUAGAGACGGGAUUUCACCGUGUUAGCCAGGAUGGUCUCGAUCUCCUGACCUCGUGAUCCGCCCAUCUUGGCCUCCCAAAGUGCUGGGAUUACAGGCGUGAGCCACCGUGCCUGGCCUGGCUCUUUGUUUCCUAAAGAAAAUAGCCAAAUUCAUCCACACAGUUAUUUCUUUUGAGCUGUGCCUCCUCUUCAAGGUCCGCAAUUAGAUGACAGAUUCACAUCACCAUCCACCAAUGCUUACCAUUUUCGGGCACUAUGCCUGUGCAGAGAUAUGGAAGUGAAAGGAAGGAAGGGAGGGAGGGUAGAGUGUGAGAUGGUGUCACGAAAAGAAAGAGAUGUUACUGCUUUCAAGGUUCAUAAUUUAGUGGGAAGCAUAACUUCACACAAUUAACCAUAACGCAAGAUGAAAAACUGAGCAGACUACACCCAGGUAAAACAAACCAAUCUAGGUGCAUGUGAGAUUUAAUCUCACUUUGAAGACAUUUGAAAGUUAUUUCUCCCUAGUGUAGGUAAGACCCAAGAGACUCUGUGAAAAGCACUCCACACCUACUAUGUUCAUAAAAUUUUCAUUGCUUACAAAUAUAGUGGGUUUCAAACCGUCUUUAGAGGACGGGCAUGGUGACUCACGCCUGUAAUCCCAGCACUUUGGGAGGCUGAGACGGGUGGAUCAUCUGAGGUCAGGAGUUCGAGACCAGCCUGGCCAACAUGGUGAAACUUUGUCUCUACUAAAAACACAAAAACUAGCCAGGCGUGGCAGUGGGUGCCUGUAAUCCCAGCUACUCAGGAGGCUGAGGCAGAAGAAUCACUGGAAUAUGGGAGGCGGAGGAUGCAGUGAGCCAAGAUCAUGCCACUGCACUCCAGCCUGGGUAACACAGAGAGGGACUCCGCCUCAAACAAAACAAAACAAAAACAAACAAAAAACCAACAAAAAAAAUAAAUUGUCUUUAGAACCCAGGUAGCGUUUUAAAGGUAGCCUGAAAGUAACUCUCCACACUGCCCACCUGGUCAAGAAGACUGGUCUGGUGAGUGGAAAAAUAAUCUGUCCCUUCCACAGUUUUAUUGGAUGAAAAUAUCCUGUCACUUAAAAAAAGUGGAAAAUCACUAUUUUAGCUCAAGACAUGCUCUUGGAGCCUUGAUUUCUCUAUCUUUGAGGCUGCAGGAAUGAAAUAAUUCUGGUAUUUUUGCAGCCUGGUGAGGAAAUAGGUAUCAGAAAUCUUUCAGACUUAAACUCUUUCAGUGGCUUAAGAAUGUGUAGGAAAUACGAAGUCAACAGAAGAGUUUGCCUGAAAGCAAUGUUGCCUGGGCUGUUCUGAGAAACAGCUUCUUUCUCAGGACACCUUGAGGGUGGACUGAAUUCAAGGAAGAUGACUUUCUUUUCCUGGUAGUACUCCAGGAACUGGAGCCUUUCAAAACUACAUGACAUCAUCUUUGGCCUGGAGAAUUUUGAAUUUAAGCGAGAGGCUUUGCCUGUUCAGAAAACUAGGGUUAGAUUCAGAGGAUGUCUUAAAAAUGAUGUCAAAGCCAGAAUUUGAUGUCAAAGCCUAAUCCUUUCAGCAAGGAAAGAGGCUUCUUCCAGAUGAAGAACAAUGGCCCUGUCUCACUGGUGGCAGGAGAAAGGGUUGCUAACUGACAUUCUUAGAAGGCACCACUGUGUAUCACCCUGUGCCUUGAGGACAAGAUGUACUCAAGACCCAUUUCCCAACUCUACCUUCUCUCCAGAUACUGCCUCUGGCUUGCCAUCAAGUGGUUAGCCAAAUGGAAAUCACUUUAGCAAACCACCGCCAUAUGCUGCAUCCUGGUAAUACCCCAAGCUACUCUUCCAGCAUUAAUUGCUUCACCAGACACUGAAGUGAAAGCCUUUUUAGUUCAUCAGCAAAGAUUUAUCCAGCUCUACCUCUUCAAAUGUAGGUGAUCCACAUUCUAAUGUUUGGAAGGAAAAGUUGGGUACAUUGCAAAGGAAGGGUCCUCGUCAAUUAAUCAAAAUGCCAGAAUAUUGUUUUGUAGGAAAUCAAAUCCAUUCAAUAUAUUUAUGCUCUCUCAACCUAAGGAUGAAGAAACACUCUAUACAUUUCCAGCAAAGGCAGAAGAGACUGAGAGAACUGCAUAUAGCCAUUAGUCAAAUGCUAUAAAGGCUUACAAUGAAACUUCUGCUCCUCUUUUUUUUUUUUUUAAUUCAAUUUGAUGGUUGUAGAGGACUGAAAUGAAAUAAUCCAUAAUCCGCAAUUCAAACCAGAAGGUUUGGAAUAGUUUAUAACCACAAACAAAAACAAGCCAAUUAAGAUGGCCUCUUUUUAUAACCAGAAGGGAUUCCAGAGAGAUGUCUUUAUCCAAUCACAAGUUAACCGCAGAAGCAAUACAUCUACAGCUUUUAUACUUGCAGUUUUUUACUAUUAUUGAAUAUUUACAUUAUCCAUACUUCUUGACUCAUCUCCUGAAUUCACACAUUUUGUUCUCAAGAGUCAGAUAAAAAUCUCAGCUAGUAAUUAGUACAUCUGGUAAAGCUCAUGUUAGAUACAAAAAACAGACUAAAAGAAGCUACAAAUGUUAAAUACAAAGAAGAGACUAAAAGAUGCUACAAAACAGACUAAAAGAUGCUACAAAAGGCAGGUUAUCAGAUCCUUUCCCCAAAACAUUGCCCCAAAUAUGUAGGAGGCAUUUUAGAUUAGUGAUUGCUAGGAAUGGAAAGCCACAAAGAAUAAUCAUUUAUAAAUCUCUUUCAGCAACGCUACAGAGGGUGAGACAAUUGUGUACCAAAUUCUCAGUGAGUCAGAAUUUGAAGAAAGCCAUGAUGAUCCCAUGCAACUCAUUUCAUCUCCCAGUGCCUCAGUUUUCUCGCUUGUAAAAUGAGGCUAUGAACUGGGGCACAGCAGGCAUACUUUUUUUUUUUUUUUUUUUUUUUUUGCACAAAGGCCAAUUUGAGAAAAAAUAAUUUGAGAGUACUACAGUUCUACACUUCCCCUCAUUGAAAACAAAAAUAGUUUACUGAGUUCCAACUUAGACUACCAUUUUACCAAAUGCAAAAAUACUUGUCAGAAACUCUCUGCUGCUCUUGAGCCGAAGGAAUAUGAGUAUUCUACCCUGUUUCUGUAGUAAUGGCAUGAAGAAAAAUCUUUGAUACUUGACUUAGAUAGGGGUCACACUCUGAAGCUAAGAGCCAUGGGAAACACUUGGCUAAGUGUUACUUAUCACUGUUAUCACUGGAUUUGAAUUAACAUCACCUGGGCAGCUUAAAAGAAAAGGAUUCUCUGCUUCUCAGGCCCAUGCCCCACCACAGUUUAUAUCUUGGGGUGGGGGUCUAAACAACCACUUAAAGUUCCCCAUUAAAAACAUGAGCCCUAUUCUUGAGUAGCUUUUAGGAGCCACUGAUCUAGAAGACUCUAAGAUCUCUUUUGAGUUCUAAAUGACUACAAGUCUACACUCGUUUCUGAUAUCAGAUCAUGUCAAAGAUAAGUGUCCUCUAGUAACUCUGUGAUGACAGCUUAAGCCUUCAGACUUUGGAUAUUAUUUGUACAUCUCCUGGACUGACUUCAAAAUUCAAUGCCCAUUGAACAUCUCACAGUUUUAUUAGUCAAAAUAUGCCAAGAGAAAAAUGUAUUCUGUACUUAUAGGAGGUUCAGAAGCUUAAAUGUAGAAUAGUGGUGGCAAACUGAAGUAUCUGCAGGGCCAAUCUAUAGCAUGAAACAUUUAAAAAGAAAGAAAGAAAAAGGAAGAAGGAAGGAAGGAAAUGAGGAAGGGAUGAAGCAGAAAUGCCUUUUAAAAUUCUGUUCAUGACCAGAUGGAGAGCAGAUGCCAAUUUGAUCCUCCAUAUUCCCCAGCCCCAGUGAAGGGGAUCAGAAUAUGUCACCCCUAAAUUAUGCCACGUUGGCAUAAAGAUUAUUUUGAGAUGAGGGCAACAGAGAACCAACAGAUGCAGGAAGAGUUCUCUGCCCUCCCCUUAUCUGCCUAUCUGCCUAAAAGGAGGGCAUAAAUUUCCCAUUGAGAAGGCGCCCACACAGUACCAGAAAGAGGGGCGACUCUUAUCACCAGAGAUGGGGAACUGGCAACUUUCCAUAGUUCCCACAGCCUAAUGAAUAACUUUGGGGCAUGGCAUGGGAGGGCAUAGCAUCUGGAGGCUCAGCAUGAAAGGGCCUAGCAUCUGAAGGCCUAACAUCAGGGAGCUAGCAUCGGAGGACUUUCCUCACUUGGUUCCAUCUUCUCUCCAUCCUUCUCUCUAGAAACUUCCCUUCAGGGCCACUUGUCCCAGCCACCUCAUCACUCUAUUUUAUGUUUUUCAAACUCUCCAUGCCCAACCUUAUUCUACCUCCAUAUAUUUUCCCUUAUUUGAUUCAUUCUCUCUUUCUGGAAGGCAUAAUCCAUCAUUCAUGUCUAAAUUUUAUCCAUUCCCCAGAAUUCUUCCCAAAUGGCCUCAGAGCCAUCAAGCCUUCCUUCUCUCAUCUCUACGUGAGUAAGUACUUUACCUGUGUAGGGCACUGACCUUUUUCCACCUUGUUUGAUCAUUAUUGGCUCUCUUGGAUGGUAAGCAACUUAAGGACUGAAAUUACUGGCCUGACUGAAACCUUGCAUCUAACAGUGUCUAAAACAAUGCCUCAUACACAUAAGGUACUCAGUAAAUAUGUGGUCAGGUGUUUUGCUGAUUGUGUGGUCAUUCAUUCAUCCAACAAAAGGAUAAAUACUAUUUGUUCAAAGAGUACUGCAAAUGCCCUGAAAUUUAUUAAACUUUCUUCUGUACAUUCUACAUCAACUUGCUGUUGCAUGGAAAAAAAAUCUUUGUGAAGAUACAGAAGACACAAAAGCAGGAAAAACUGAUUCUGUGAAAUUGUUGGCACUCUCCCUAUCAGUGAAUAACAAAAAGUUCCAGAGUGUGAAAAGACGUUUCAUAAUAUUGUUCAAUAUCAUAUAACUAUCUGCAGUCAUGGUUCAUAUAAAAACGUAUAUUCCUAUUCUAAACAUUAAAAGCUAGACUUGAAAGUCUAGCCUAUUGGGUUGACUUCUACGUUUAUGAGACUAACCCUGAAUAAGUUACCAUUUUUUUUUACAUGAAUGAGGGCUAUAAUUAGCUCAAGAUUUUGCCAUAAACUAUGAGCUACAGUGGCAAGGAGUUCAUAUCCUGAUCCUAUCAAAAGACUCCACUAAGUGAAAAAUUACUAUUUUUACAUAGGUCACUUGAUAAAAUAAAUAUUUCAAGUAAAUUUAUGAAUAUGAAAUGCACAUUUUAUAUGUAGUCCAUGUGACUAUAUUUCUUUAUAAACAUGUGUACAUACGCCAUAUAUGAAACAUAUUACAAGCACAUAUUAUUCAUAUGAAAGAAUUUUUAGUCGGAAUUCAUAGCAGAUAGCUCAACAGAAAAUACCAGAUUAUCUGAACCACAUAAUGCUUGUCCUCUUUCCCCAUCCCAAGACCCGCACAUCAAACCAUUAUAUUAGUUUGUGGAACAAUGUGCUUUAUCUGGCAAGAAGCACUGGUUAUUACGUUUGGGCUAAAAUGAAUUUCAUUUUCUUGACUUUGUGUGUCUUACUGUCAUUUUACUAUGGUACAGAGAUAUCCCAGAUUACUUCUCAGGGAAUGAAAAAAUAAGUUCUUAUUCAAUUGCAAGAAGAAACUACACAACUUAAUCUGAUCAUUGUGUGGAGGAGAAAGUAUUCCCAAUGACAACAUCUUCCUAUGUCAAUUGAUUAUAUUACAGAUGUCAUCUCUGUGGGUUAUAUUUAUGCAGCUCUUUCUUAUUUAAAGAUUUUAAUCUCAGUUUGUUGCUGUAAUGUUUCAUUGGUUCAAAAUACAUGCUGUAAAAAUCCGUGGCCAUCAAAUUUUCCUGUGGGCUAAAAAUAACCCAUUGCUGUCAGUUAGAAUUAGCUGAUAAAGAGUGUCAGAGCCUGUUCCGAAUAAGUUUGAUAACUUCCUGUUUAUGCAGCACUGACCCUUGUCUAAUAAAGCUUCUUUGCCCUAGAAUGAGAGGAGAUUCUGCUGCAUUCUAUUCCUUAAUGGCCAAUACUGAUUACUUUUGAAAGCCUUUAAUACAUUUCCCAUAUUAGACAUGAACAGAUGUCAGGUAUGUUGCCAAGGGAAAUUUCUUUUAUGCAAUCUUGGCUUGUUGUACAAUAAUAGCCCUUUCUCAACAUGGGAAAAAAUUACAGACCCAACUAAUUUCCCUGACAGGGGAGAGUUACAUAUGUUUUCCACUUGUAGUUUUUACGACAAGUUUACAAUUUUGCCAAACCUGGAACUAAUUGGGACUGUUUCCAAAGCGGCCCAAUAAACCCCCAAAAGUGUAGAGCCAUUUGAAAAGGCAGUCAGUGAUGUUUUGCCCUUGCAUGUUCUCCAUUUUGGUCAAAGAGAGGGGAAAAGUUAGAUUGCAAAAUUAUUUCAUUUAAGUUGCUUAAACACUUACUGUUUCAUAUCCUCCCAGUUUUUGAGCAGCUUGAAACAUAGUCCAAAGGUUAACUGUUAGAGGGACAAUAAGUAUUUAGAUAAGCAUUGCAUUAACAUACUUCCAAGAAAUGUCAAUUAAAACAUUUUUUUUUUCAACGAGAAAGAGAAAAAAAGAAAUACUAAAGUACCCCAGAGAGCUAAGUUCUUAGGAAACAAUUUGCCCAAAGGGCAUUUGACAACAGAAUCUAUUAUUACCACUUAAAACAUUUCUUAAGAAACAGUCAUAAAGCUACAAAAAUGGUUCUACUUUUAGGAUAAAGGCAAGAGUUUUAGUCCUACUGUCAUCAGCAGAGCAAGAGAAGCUAAAUUAGAUGUCUUUGGGAAAAAGCAUGGGCUCUCAAAACUGGGGUUGGUCUUGUUCGACCCUUAGACGCCAUUGAUUAAACAGUAAUAUAUAGAGCUUCUCUCAUAUAAGAACUCUCCAUAAUCAAUAAAUAACAGCCACUUUAAUAUACGAUUACCUUCUUAAUAGAAUGUCUGAUGGCAGCACUAUAUUAAAGGUUCAUACAGUAUUUCACCAACAUGUGGUGGCUGGCAGUGAGUAGGAAAACAAAUAUUUCACGUGGAGGCCACAGUGAUACAACAGAUAAAAGGGAAGGAAGACAUUCAUUCAGAGAGGAAUUGAAUCAUGAACCCACUUAGUCCCCUAACUGGCCUGUGUGAUGUUGCAAAUAUAUUUUUUUCAAACAGAUUUCUCUUUGCAGAGUUUGUAUAUGUUUAUGCUGUUAAACAACUAUACCAAAUUGCUAGCAACCCUGUUCAUUUAUACCAAACACCAUGGAAUGGGACUGCUAUGGAUUUGAUUUUUUUACAUGAGGGGAAAAUUGAACUUCAAGUGAUUCCUUGGUAAGGGAAAUGAAGAAUAAAAUGAUUUUUAUUUUUAAAGGCUCUUUGACACAACAUGUUCGCAAAGCCUCAUUGAACCUUGCACUACUUCAGAGCUAUCAAGAGCCCUGCCUCGGCCUUGAUUUAAUCUGAACCAAUGCAUAAUGCAACAAAGCUGUUCAUAAUACAUUAAUUUUACUUCUAUUUCAAGCAACCAGUUUUCAGACAAACAUUGUAAUCAUUCGUAGUUAUAUAAGUUUAUAAUGGCUGCGAGUGUUCUCCUGCAAUCAGUGCCAAUUGCUAUUAGGUAUGUAAAUUGUUAUGUAAAACACACAGUUUUGACAUUCUUCAUCAAAAUGACACAUGGUUUUAAUCUACGAAGAUACAUUUGGAGAAAAUACUAUUUCAAGCCAGAGGCUCAUCGCUUUGUGCACCACUAAAUCCAGACAGAGGCAAAAUAUAUAUUCGGUUGCAAAAUCAAGGCAGGAUCUGGAUUUCUUCUCUUUUGAUUUGGAAUUCUGUUUGGCUAUGAGUUUCCUGUUCUCCUUGCAAAUAUACAAUGACACUUAUAUUUAAAUGUACAUGUCAAAGUAAUUCAAAAUUAGGCCCUCUGUUCCAAUUUGUGUAUUUCUUGUUUUCUCUGAAGUUGGAUUUUUGUUAUAUUUUAACACAUUUGGGGCUUAGGAAAUGUGUUUUCCCUUUGUGGUUGUUUUGUCCAUCUUUAAAUGUCCUCCUUUUAAAAGCUGUUUUUUUCACAGGCAACAUCUGUGCCUGAUAAAGCUACGUCAUAUUAUUAUCUCACAAGAAAGGCGUCACAGACACUCAAGAUUGACAAAACAGCAAAUGAGAAACUUUCAACAUGUCUAUUUCCAGUCAUAAUCAGUGGAUUCAAGCCUAUAAAUAUCUCACUGCAACUGUCCCAGAAGGGAACAAUGUAGCGGAAAAAGGCAGGGAAAAAAUUCUUGGCCUGGAACAUUUAUGGAUUUAGUAUAAACAGAGAGCACUAUCCCCAGAUUAGGAUUUCAACAUAAUCCUGAGUCAAAAUUAUUUUUUCCAAUUCAAAGAAUCUGAGCAGCUCUGAUAAUUCAGAAACGAAAACAAGUAUACUCACUCUGUUUAAAACCUAAAU